rnacentral:rRNA from 1 species
AUUGAACGCUGGCGGCAUGCCUUACACAUGCAAGUCGAACGGUAACAGGUCUUCGGAUGCUGACGAGUGGCGAACGGGUGAGUAAUACAUCGGAACGUGCCCGAGAGUGGGGGAUAACGAAGCGAAAGCUUUGCUAAUACCGCAUACGAUCUCAGGAUGAAAGCAGGGGACCGCAAGGCCUUGCGCUCACGGAGCGGCCGAUGGCAGAUUAGGUAGUUGGUGGGAUAAAAGCUUACCAAGCCGACGAUCUGUAGCUGGUCUGAGAGGACGACCAGCCACACUGGGACUGAGACACGGCCCAGACUCCUACGGGAGGCAGCAGUGGGGAAUUUUGGACAAUGGGCGAAAGCCUGAUCCAGCCAUGCCGCGUGCAGGAUGAAGGCCUUCGGGUUGUAAACUGCUUUUGUACGGAACGAAAAGACUCUGGUUAAUACCUGGAGUCCACGACGGUACCGUAAGAGUAAGCACCGGCUAACUACGUGCCAGCCGCCGCAGUAA